GUAUUUAAACUACUAGAAAUAAUCGUGCUUUGGUUUUAGAUACAUUUUAAGAUUGUUCCUCCAUUUUUAUGUUUUAUAUCAAAGAAGAUAUUCACUGGCAUGCUAUGUAUUCUUAAUGCUGGCUGGCUUAUCCCCUGUCUCAGCAACUAAAAAAUGAAUAGCACAUGAGAGCUCUACAGGCGCGUAUCAGCUUGGAGGAGAACUCUAACCAUGGAUAGAAUUGCUUUUGCCAUCAUGUUUUAUGUUAUUUUUUUUCACAGAGCAUUAGUGAAAAUUAGCAGUUCAAAAUCUGGUGUCUGUAGCAAUUCCUGUGUGCUGGUAACUGCUGACACUGUGCAUGCAUGAUUCGGCAUGAGAUUCCUGUUCAUUUAACAUCCAUUGUCUGUUCAAAUGUCUCUGUGUUUUGUUAUUUUCAUUUCCAUCAAGAUGAAUAAAGUACAUUUUAACUGGGCAGUCCUAAAGAUGAAUAUGUCCGCCAGCCUCUGGAGUUUUAGUAGAAGUUAAUUGGCAUGAGAAACGAUAAAUUAAUAGAGAAUAAUAUUAAAAGUGCUGAGGAUCCAGGCACUGCAGAUAAAGCCAUCACGUGUGAUGAUGGCAUCCUGUAUGGGUGCUGGUUCAUGUCCUAGCUGCUUCACUUUUGAUCCAGCUCCCUGCUAAUGGUCUGGGGAAAGCAUCAGAUGAUGACCCACAUGUUUAGGCCCCUGUACCAAAGUGAGAGACCUGGAUGAAGCUUCUGGCUUCAGUCUGGCCCUGUGCUUGCUUUUGCAACCAUCUGGGAAAUGAACUAGCAGAUGGAAAAUGAACUUCUCCCAUUAGCCCCUCCUCAAAACUCAAAACUUUCCCCAAAAUAAAUACUUUUUUUAAAAAGUGGUGAGAGAGUGAGUUAAGGUUAGGCUUAUCUUACACAGUCUCCCAUUCCGGGGGUGACACCAAGACCCAAUUGGCUAAUUGCCUGCCUGUAAGCAGCAGAAUCCCACUUGGACACUGUUUCAUGCCUUGGAUGCUCCACAAUGUCCAAAAUGUCACAUAGCUAGUAAGUACAAGGCUGGGUUCAAAUCUAGACCUGGUGACCUGAGUGAGAAUCUGGACUAAACAUGAAACUUCCCAUGCUGUAACUAAAACCGAUUUGAGAAACUGAAGGUGAGAUUUAAUAGAUUAUAGAGUGAUUGAUAUGGCUUGGUACCUAAACCUAUUUGUCUAAAAAAAAAUUGGAAUUUAGAAAAACAGCAAAAAUAUCCCAAUUAUGAAAUUUAAUUAUUUGUGCUGACAGAUUUGCUCUUAUACAUACACUUGUAUUUUAGUUGUCAUUAUUUGUGUCUGUCUAAAAUUAGGAGGCCUUAAAAAGCAAGCAUUUCUUCUAAAUUAGGUGGCCUUUAAAAGUAAAUCUCCUAUUUGUAUGUGAAGUAGUAUCCAACCAAUAGUGUGCAAUACUGCAAGGUCAAAUUUUAGAUCUUACAAUUUUUCACCACAGGCUUCAGCUUGCUUGCAGUUUUAGUCUCUUAAUGUGGCCUGCUGCCUCUGGGUGUCCUGGCUGCUGUUGGACCCCCCAGUUUCAUUCUGGGUCAGGCUAUCCCAGCACUUUAAUUCAAAUUACUGUUCAGUCCUUGACCACCUGCUGCUCCCUCUGUGUGAAAUACUUGGCCCUCCCUGCUGAUAUCCCUUGAUUAAAUGUAGCUAUCAGGAAGCUGCUUAAAUGUCAUGUCUUUCAAGAUGUAGAUUUAUUUUCAUUCAUUUGAAAGGCAGAUCUGCAUUCACUAA